UGUCGACAGUAGCAAGGUGUGUGCUUGUGCCUUUUACCUAAAUCUUCCAUCGCAUCCAACAAAUUUCAUUUUCAACAUUUAAAAAACGUUUAUAUCAAUAGAGAAGUUACACAGUUUGGCGAGAGUGCAGUUCGAUAAAAAGGAAAUUCCUAUAUUUGCAGCGAAUCGGAAAGUGAAUUGACAAUUUUGAAGGAAGGAGAAAAAGAGUUUU